rnacentral:rRNA from 1 species
GGUUAAGUGACUAAGCGUACACGGUGGAUGCCUUGGCAGUCAGAGGCGAUGAAAGACGUAGUAACUUGCGAUAAGCCCAGAUUAGGUAGUAACAACCAUUUGAGUCUGGGAUUUCUGAAUGGGGAAACCCACGUGCAUAAGCACGUAUCCUUACCUGAAUACAUAGGGUAAGGAGGCGAACCGGGGAACUGAAACAUCUAAGUACCCCGAGGAAAAGAAAUCAACCGAGAUUCCGAAAGUAGCGGCGAGCGAAAUUGGACUAGCCCUUAAGCUUUACACGCGUUAGACGAACGGUCUGGAAAGUCCGACGAUACAGGGUGAUAGUCCCGUAGUUGACGACGUGUGUUCAGUGAAAUCGAGUAGGGCGGGACACGUGAUAUCCUGUCUGAAUAUGGGGGACCAUCCUCCAAGGCUAAAUACUACUGACUGACCGAUAGUGAACCAGUACCGUGAGGGAAAGGCGAAAAGAACCCCUGUGAGGGGAGUGAAAUAGAACCUGAAACCGUGUACGUACAAGCAGUAGGAGCAGGCUUUGUCCUGUGACUGCGUACCUUUUGUAUAAUGGGUCAGCGACUUAUAUUCAGUGGCAAGGUUAACCAUCUAGGGGAGCCGUAGGGAAACCGAGUCUUAACUGGGCGUUCAGUCUCUGGAUAUAGACCCGAAACCAGGUGAUCUAGCCAUGGGCAGGUUGAAGGUUGAGUAACAUCAACUGGAGGACCGAACCGACUAAUGUUGAAAAAUUAGCGGAUGACUUGUGGCUAGGGGUGAAAGGCCAAUCAAACCUGGAGAUAGCUGGUUCUCCCCGAAAGCUAUUUAGGUAGCGCCUCGGACGAAUACUACUGGGGGUAGAGCACUGUUAAGGCUAGGGGUCAUCCCGACUUACCAACCCUUUGCAAACUCCGAAUACCAGUAAGUACUAUCCGGGAGACACACGGCGGGUGCUAACGUCCGUCGUGGAGAGGGAAACAACCCAGACCGCCAGCUAAGGUCCCAAAUUACUACUAAGUGGGAAACGAUGUGGGAAGGCUCAGACAGCCAGGAUGUUGGCUUAGAAGCAGCCAUCAUUUAAAGAAAGCGUAAUAGCUCACUGGUCGAGUCGGCCUGCGCGGAAGAUGUAACGGGGCUAAGUAGUAAACCGAAGCUGCGGCAAUGCACUUUAGUGCAUUGGGUAGGGAGCGUUCUGUAAGCGGUUGAAGGUGUGUGGUAACGCAUGCUGGACGUAUCAGAAGUGCGAAUGCUGACAUGAGUAACGAUAAAGGGGUGAAAAACCUCCUCGCCGGAAGACCAAGGGUUCCUGUCCAACGUUAAUCGGGGCAGGGUAAGUCGACCCCUAAGGCGAGGCCGAAAGGCGUAGUCGAUGGGAAACGGGUUAAUAUUCCCGUACUUCUUACAAUUGCGAUGGGGGACGGAGAAGGCUAGGUGGGCCUGGCGACGGUUGUCCAGGUUCAAGUGCGUAGGCUGAGAAAUUAGGUAAAUCCGGUUUCUCUUAAGGCUGAGACACGACGUCGAGCUACUACGGUAGUGAAGUCAUUGAUGCCAUGCUUCCAGGAAAAGCCUCUAAGCUUCAGAUUGUAAGGAAUCGUACCCCAAACCGACACAGGUGGUCGGGUAGAGAAUACCAAGGCGCUUGAGAGAACUCGGGUGAAGGAACUAGGCAAAAUGGUACCGUAACUUCGGGAGAAGGUACGCUCUUGAUGGUGAAGUCCCUCGCGGAUGGAGCUGACGAGAGUCGCAGAUACCAGGUGGCUGCAACUGUUUAUUAAAAACACAGCACUGUGCAAAAUCGUAAGAUGACGUAUACGGUGUGACGCCUGCCCGGUGCCGGAAGGUUAAUUGAUGGGGUUAGACUUCGGUCGAAGCUCUUGAUCGAAGCCCCGGUAAACGGCGGCCGUAACUAUAACGGUCCUAAGGUAGCGAAAUUCCUUGUCGGGUAAGUUCCGACCUGCACGAAUGGCGUAAUGAUGGCCACGCUGUCUCCACCCGAGACUCAGUGAAAUUGAAAUCGCUGUGAAGAUGCAGUGUACCCGCGGCUAGACGGAAAGACCCCGUGAACCUUUACUACAGCUUGGCACUGAACAUUGACCCUACAUGUGUAGGAUAGGUGGGAGGCUUUGAAGCAGGUACGCCAGUAUCUGUGGAGCCGUCCUUGAAAUACCACCCUUGUAGUGUUGAUGUUCUAACGUCGACCCCUAAUCGGGGUUGCGGACAGUGCCUGGUGGGUAGUUUGACUGGGGCGGUCUCCUCCCAAAGAGUAACGGAGGAGCACGAAGGUGGGCUAAUCACGGUUGGACAUCGUGAGGUUAGUGCAAUGGCAUAAGCCCGCUUGACUGCGAGAAUGACAAUUCGAGCAGGUGCGAAAGCAGGUCAUAGUGAUCCGGUGGUUCUGAAUGGAAGGGCCAUCGCUCAACGGAUAAAAGGUACUCCGGGGAUAACAGGCUGAUACCGCCCAAGAGUUCAUAUCGACGGCGGUGUUUGGCACCUCGAUGUCGGCUCAUCACAUCCUGGGGCUGAAGUCGGUCCCAAGGGUAUGGCUGUUCGCCAUUUAAAGUGGUACGCGAGCUGGGUUUAGAACGUCGUGAGACAGUUCGGUCCCUAUCUGCCGUGGGCGUUGGAAGAUUGAAGGGGCUGCUCCUAGUACGAGAGGACCGGAGUGGACGAACCUCUGGUGUUCGGGUUGUGUCGCCAGACGCAUUGCCCGGUAGCUAAGUUCGGAAUCGAUAACCGCUGAAAGCAUCUAAGCGGGAAGCGAGCCCUGAGAUGAGUCUUCCCUGAUACUUUAAGUAUCCUAAAGGGUUGUCGGAGACUACGACGUUGAUAGGUCAGGUGUGUAAGUGCUGUGAGGCAUUGAGCUAACUGAUACUAAUUGCCCGUGAGGCUUAACCAU